UCUUGUACUCAGCUAUAGUCAAAACCUUUUGACUUAAUUUCUCCAUUCAGAUUUAUUUUAUGAAAAUUCUGUGUGUAGUAAAUAACCCUCUGCCUCCAUCAUCAUAGCGUCUUUAUUUGUUCACCCAGCAGUGUGUGUUUUGGUUUUAAAAGCUGUGUAUAAUAUGUGCGGUGUUGCUGAUCUGGCCCGGCCUGGCUAUCGGGCAAACUGGGCUAAUGUCUGGUGGACCGCGAUGGCCAUUUGCUGAGGCUGAAAGGAAAUCAAAGGAUCUCCCCAUGCGGCCCUUGUAGAACUGGUCUACCUGUCUGCCUUCACAAGUUGGUGGGGAAAUCUACAUCACACACACACCACCCCUCACACACAAUGUGCCUCUCACACACACCACACAUACACACACUGGAUUACCUAUAGACAUUACAUUCCUUAUACACACACUGCACCACCUACACAUACACACACACACAGACACACACACACACACACACUACAUCCCCUACAUACUACAUCCCCUACACACACACUGGAUCUCUUAAAUAUACUAGAUUCCCUACAGACAUACACUGUACCACCUACACACACUGCAUCCCCUAUACACACUUUGUAUCACAUAUGCAAACACUAAAUCCCCUGAACACAAACACACUAUAUUCUCUAAACACACACUCUCUACAGCCUCUACACACUACAUCACACAUAUACUACAGUCACG